rnacentral:rRNA from 1 species
GAUGAACGCUGGCGGCGUGCCUAAUACAUGCAAGUCGAGCGAACAGAUGAGGAGCUUGCUCCUCUGACGUUAGCGGCGGACGGGUGAGUAACACGUGGAUAACCUACCUAUAAGACUGGGAUAACUUCGGGAAACCGGAGCUAAUACCGGAUAAUAUAUUGAACCGCAUGGUUCAAUAGUGAAAGACGGUUUUGCUGUCACUUAUAGAUGGAUCCGCGCCGCAUUAGCUAGUUGGUAAGGUAACGGCUUACCAAGGCAACGAUGCGUAGCCGACCUGAGAGGGUGAUCGGCCACACUGGAACUGAGACACGGUCCAGCCUCCUACGGGAGGCAGCAGUAGGGAAUCUUCCGCAAUGGGCGAAAGCCUGACGGAGCAACGCCGCGUGAGUGAUGAAGGUCUUCGGAUCGUAAAACUCUGUUAUUGGGGAAGAACAAAUGUGUAAGUAACUAUGCACGUCUUGACGGUACCUAAUCAGAAAGCCACGGCUAACUACGUG